UAGGGAAUCUUCCGCAAUGGACGCAAGUCUGACGGAGCAACGCCGCGUGAGUGAAGAAGGUUUUCGGAUCGUAAAACUCUGUUGUUAGAGAAGAACAAGUGCUAGAGUAACUGUUAGCGCCUUGACGGUAUCUAACCAGAAAGCCACGGCUAACUACGUGCCAGCAGCCGCGGUAAUACGUAGGUGGCAAGCGUUGUCCGGAUUUAUUGGGCGUAAAGCGAGCGCAGGCGGUUCCUUAAGUCUGAUGUGAAAGCCCCCGGCUCAACCGGGGAGGGUCAUUGGAAACUGGGGAACUUGAGUGCAGAAGAGGAGAGUGGAAUUCCAUAUGUAGCGGUGAAAUGCGUAGAUAUAUGGAGGAACACCAGUGGCGAAGGCGACUCUCUGGUCUGUAACUGACGCUGAGGCUCGAAAGCGUGGGUAGCAAACAGGAUUAGAUACCCUGGUAGUCCACGCCGUAAACGAUGAGUGCUAAGUGUUGGAGGGUUUCCGCCCUUCAGUGCUGCAGUUAACGCAUUAAGCACUCCGCCUGGGGAGUACGACCGCAAGGUUG
rnacentral:rRNA from 1 species